CAGUUAAUAGUUUAAAAAAAAUGUAAGCUUUGGGAGUUUAUGAUGUUUAAAUAAAACUUAACUGA
rnacentral:tRNA from 1 species